UCACUUGCGAUCACGAGCUCGUACGAACGGUGCGUACGGCUGCGCUUUUGAAUCUCGGAAAAAAUAAGUCAACGCGCAUCACGGUCAGACGUUGAACAGCUGUCAAGCAAUUUCUGAUGGCGGUUGUUCAUUCACGCUCAUAACGAACGAACUACAGACAUUCGGUACUUGUUUCAAUGCCGGUGUCAAUACGCUCGAGAAUACGUUACACGUACAACGUUACAUCACGUUUCUCGAGCGUCCGACAACCUUCCGACUCCAUUGUUAUGAUUACGAAUAGAAUACCGAGACGUAUGCCGUUGCUUGGCGUUAUGCUGAAACACUGUGGCUCCUCUGCGCCGGUAUAUAAUCACGUUAUCACGGGCUGAUUACGAUUUCUGUAGUGAUACGCGCGGUCUCCGCCGCGAAUUAUGUAUAUGCGCGAGUCUAUGAGUUUUCGAAAGUCGGGUGAAGUCGGUAUGUACAUUUCAAUAAUUCUGUAGUCGAUGCUUGUGGCCAAUAGCCGAACGAGAUGCGCGUCUUGUGGGCUAUCGUAACGGCUGCAUUGCGCGGCCAAUCAAAAAUAAUGAAUGUGUUGCGUCUUGCGUCUCGAUACAUCCAUGUAUCGGAUCCAGAAUGCAUAAUUACAAUUGCAAAUUGCCUUUGACGUAAAUAAAUAUUUUAUUUAAUUACUCUCAUACUGUACAUGUGUACUUGACAUGUAUGCAAUAUUUUUGGGGAAGAGUACAAAUAUGCAAAGGUUUUGGAACACCCACGAAUCGUACAUGUUCAAUUCAAGUAAAAAAUUGUAAGAGGAAAAAAAUGGAGGCAUUUUUGUGACUGCCAUCUGUAAGCUAUCUGCAUGCUUGGACGAACUAAAAUUUAAUAUGGUUGCCUAUCCACAUUUGCAUUUGAUGGACUGUGGGUAGACCAUGUGCCGACGCGACACCAUUCCCGCCAUUCUAAGCAAAGUCAAGCUAAUCGCAAACGAACCAGCGAAUAGAUAUAAUGGACAUAAGCAAUAAGUCAUACUUAUUUUUAUUUCCCAUAGUCUCUUAUAUCUUUAUAAUAGUAUUUAAAGUACACGUAUUUUCGUUUUAGAUUCUUUUA